AUUGCAAGCCUCUGCAGAGGCGCUGGAGCUGGGUCAGUCCGCCGCUCACCCCGCGGCCGCACCUUCCCGCCUUCUCAGUUGUUCAAAGAGAUGGCUUUGAAUUCCAGCUUACAUGGCGUCUUCAACAAAAAGUAAUUGUUUAGAGAAGUGACAAGAUGAAGGAGGACUCUGAGUCCUAGUCUCCCUCCUCGAGUCCCUGUGUGAGCAGAGGUAAACAAUGAAAACUCACCAACCAGGAGAAAUUCACCUAGGACUGGCGCAGAAGGUAUACACCAUGAGCCUGGAAAUGAUUUAAAAAACAACACAGGCUGGGCGCGGUGGCUCACACCUAUAAUCCCAGCACUUUGGGAGGCAGAGGCGGGCGGAUCACUUGAGGUUUGCGAGUUGGAAACCAGUCUGACCAACGUGGAGAAACCCCGUCUUUACUAAAAAUACAAAAUUAGCCAGGUGUGGUGGCGCAUGUCUGUAAUCCCAGCUACUGGGGAAGCUGAGGCAGGAGAAUCCCUUGAACCUGAGAGAUGGAGGUUGAUGUGAGCUGAGAUCACACAAUUGCAGUCCAGCCUGGGCAGCAAGAGUGAAACUCCAUCUCAAAAAAACAAAAAAAACAACCCACAACUGUGGGCCAAAGGGACACAGCGACAAGGGGUCCCAAUGGGCGAGGCUGGAAUAACUUGAAUAGCAGAAUAAAGUAGCAUUGGAUUAUAAUGCACAGGGCUGAAGAAAUAUCGAUGAGUCUUUGCUGAUGUAAUAAGUGACUGAAUGAGCUGGGCAGAGUGGGACCUGUAGUUCAGCUACUCAGAGGCUGAGGUGGGAGCAUCAGUUGAGCCCAGGAGUCAAGGCCUAGUAAUAUCCCAUUUCCAAAAUAAAAGACUGAAUUAAUAAAUAGAUGGGAGAGAGGAGACAAUUGACCAUGCAGGAGGAGUCCAAAUAUUUGUUCUUUGAGGCAGGAUCUUCCUCUGUCAUUCAGAAGGCUGGAGUGCAAUGGUGCGCUGUUGCCUUGCUGCAGCCUGGACCUCCUGGGCUCAGGCAGUUGUCCCACCUCAGCCUCCCAAGUAGCUGGGACCAGAGGCAUGCACAUCCAGCCGAGUCCAAAUAGUGUAUGCAGAUAUGCCCUCACAGAGGUGACCUGAACUUUCUGAGUUGUGAGUGAGCUUCACCUGGGGACCUCCUUUUAGGUAGCAGGGAAAAAGAGGAGGGUGAGCCACACCCAGGCACCUCCUUCCAGAGAGCAUGUGCCUCAGCCUCCAGAGUAGCUGGGAUUGCAGACAUGUGCCACCAGCCCGACUAAUUUUUGUAUUUUUAGUCGAUACGGGGGGGUCUCACUAUGUUGCCCAGGCUGGUCUUGAACUCCUGGGUUCAGGUGAUCUUCCCACUUCAGCCUCCCAAAGUGCUGGGAUUACAGGUGAGAUAAAACUUCCUUAUUCACAGACUACAUGAUUGUCUAUAUAGAGAACACUCAUCUAAAGCAACAGCAAUGAUUGCCACAAAGACCCUCGUAGAGCCAGUAAGUGAGUUUGGAAUGUUCACCAGUAACACAUACAAAUUAAUCUUAGGGCUGCGUGCAGUGGCUCAUGCCUGUAAUCCCAGCACUUUGGGAGGCUGAGGCCGAGGCUGGUGGAUGGCCUAAGGUCAGGAGUUUGAGACCAGCUGACCAACAUGGUGAAACCCUGUGUCUACUAAAAAUAGGAAAACUAUCCAGGCAUGGUGGCGGGCACUGUAAUCCCAGCUACUCAGGAGGCUGAGGCAGGAGAAUCGCUUGAAUCCGGGAAGCAGAGGCUGCAGUGAGCCGAGAUCGCACCAUUGCACUCCAGCCUGAGCAACAAGAGUGGAACUCUGUCUCAAAAAAAAUAAAAGACCCGGUGUGGUGGCUCAUGCCUGUAAUCCCAACGCUCUUUGGGAGGCUGAGGCAGGCGUAUCACCAGGUCAGGAGUUGGAGAUCAGCCUGACCAACAUGGUGAAACCCUGUCUCUACUAAAAAUACAAAAAUUAGCCGGGUGUGGUGGCACACACCUGUAAUCGCAGCUACUCAGGAGGCUGAGACAGGAGAAUUGCUUGAACCUGGGAGGCAGAGGUUGCAGUGAGCUGAGAUCAUGCCACAUUUGAACCCGUGAGGCAGACGUUGCAGUGAGCCGAGAUCAUGUCACUGCACUCCAGCCUGGGCAACAGAGCCAGACUGUCUCAAAAAAAAAAAAAAAAUCUUACUUCUAUAGACAAUAAAACAUUGGAAACUGAAGUUAAAAACACAGUAGCUCCUGAGAGAGAGAGAGAGGUAUAAAUCUAACAAGACAAAACAGGAUCUGUAUGCUAAAAAGACUAUGUAUGUGGAGAGACGGCACACAGCACGCUCAUAGACUGGAAGACUGAACAUAAGAUGCCAGUCUCAGAAGGAUCUGUGAAAUUAACAAAAUUCCAAAACAUUGCAGUAGGACUCUUUUUAGAUUUAGAAAAGAUGAUUUUAAAAUGUAUACAGAAUGGUGAAGGAGCUAGCUAAAACAGUAAAAAGGAUAGAUAAAACAAUGUUUUAAAAAGAACAAAAAAGUUAGAUGAAUCACAUUACACAGUUUUAACAGACUUUAAAGCCACAAAAAUCAAGACUGUCGUAUUGGCAAAGAACAGACAGAUGGGUCAGUGAUCAGAGAGUCUAGAAACAGACCCACAUAAAUAGGGCCAUUUGAUCUUUGACAGCAGUGCAAACAAAAGCAACCCUGUGGAGAAAGGAUUGUCCAUUCAACAGAGCAGUGGGGCAGUUGGUCAUCCAUAUGGUAGAAAUGGAACCUUGGCCUAAACCUCACAUUGUACACAAUUAACUCCAAUCAUAUGUAAACGUAAAACAAAACUAUAAAAUGUUUGGAAGAAAACAGAAAAAUACCUUUGUACCUGAUGACAUUUGGUAGAGUUCUUAGACAUGAUCCCAAAGGCAUAAUCCACAGAAGAAUCCAUAAAAGAAAAAUUUGUAAAUUGGACUUUAUCAAAAUUAAAAACUUACUUUUUUGAGAUAGGGUCAUGCUGUGUUGUCCAGGCUGGAGUGUGGUGGUAAGUCAUAGUUCACUGCAGCCUCGACCUCCCGGGCUCAAGCCAUCUUCCUUCCUCAGCCUCCUGAGUAGCUGGGACUAGAGGUGCAAGCCACUAUUCCUGGUUUUAAAAAUUUUUUCCAGAGUCUGAGUCUUGCUGUAUUGCCCAGGCUGGUCUCAAAUUCCUAGCCUUAAGUGAUCCUUCCACCUUCGGCCCCAAAGUAGUUGAGAUUACAGGCAUGAGCCACCGUGCCUGACCUAAAAACGUUUGAACUACCAAAGACAGUGUGAAAAGAAUGAAAAGAUGAGGAGAAAAUAUUCACAAAUCACCUGUCAACUAAGGACCUGUAUUUGGAAUACACAGAGAACUCUUAAAACUCAACAGUAAGAAAACAGUCCAACUAAAAAGUGGAAAAGACCUGAUCAGACAUGCACCAGCAAUGACACAGCAUUGACUGUUGGGCACAGGAGAAGAGGCUUGACACCACCAGCCACCAGGAAAUGCAGAUUCAGCCACCACGCAGGACACGAGGCACCUGCACCACAGCCGCAGUGCAAGAGAAUGCUGGUGGUGCCCCAAGCUGCCAGGGUGUGGACCUGCUGGAAAUGGAAGACGGCAUGGUGGUUUCCUAUAAAGUUCAAUGUACACAGCCACAUGACCCAGCAAUCCCACUGUUGGGUAUUUAGAGAAUGAAAAACUUAAGUCCACAUAAAAACUGUACGUA
rnacentral:lncRNA from 1 species